rnacentral:snoRNA from 1 species
UGAGUGUACUUAGAGCAGGGGCCCUGAACAAUGGCUCCUCUGUUUAUAACCCACCCAAGAGAAAUUUGUUGUCAUUGUUAGGAAGAACACAAAAUGUAUGGCCUUUUUAGGAACAAAUGUCCUACAUAU